rfam:Flavobacterium sp. ov086 genome assembly, contig: Ga0070134_106
GCCUAGCCCCGAUGGAAAUGGCAUCCUUUUAUGGCAGUCCCGAGGCUUCGGGAGCCAUAAAAGAUAGAAUGGACAUCGGGAAAAAAG